rnacentral:sRNA from 1 species
GCAAUAUCAUGUUAAAUUGCCUGGCCAUUUUCUGACUGGAGUGCAACAUAAUCAUUUUGAAGCCUGGCGUAUCUGGCGAUGAGGAUCAGGUGGCACUCACAUUUUGUCUCCCCGUUGUUCUUGCCCAAGUUGUAGACGUCCAUCUUUUCUCAGUUCAUCUGUGGACGUAUGCCUGUAAUUUUGACAAGAAGGAAACACAUGCUGUUUUGAAGAUUCCCGACAACAAACAUUCCAAUCUAGAACUCUCAAGAUUCGGCUUGGCUAUAUCAGAACUCACUCUGUUUAUUUGGUUUUCUCAUUGUCAUACUAUCUUUAUUAAUCUGAUAACAAUAAGAUUAGAC